UACAGAGGUCCCGAGCGUUGUUCGGAUUCACUGGGCGUAAAGGGUGCGUAGGUGGUGAGGUAAGUCGGAUGUGAAAGCUCGGAGCUCAACUCCGAAAUGGCAUUGGAAACUACCUUGCUUGAGGAUUGGAGGGGGGACUGGAAUACUUGGUGUAGCAGUGAAAUGCGUAGAUAUCAAGUGGAACACCAGUGGCGAAGGCGAGUCCCUGGACAAUACCUGACACUGAGGCACGAAAGCUAGGGGAGCAAACAGG
rnacentral:rRNA from 1 species